GACGAACGCUGGCGGCGUGCCUAAUACAUGCAAGUCGAACGAGAGCAACCGGUGCUUGCACUGGUCAAUCUAGUGGCGAACGGGUGAGUAACACGUGGGUAACCUGCCCAUCAGAGGGGGAUAACAUCCGGAAACGGAUGCUAAAACCGCAUAGGUCUUCGAACCGCAUGGUUUGAAGAGGAAAAGAGGCGCAAGCUUCUGCUGAUGGAUGGACCCGCGGUGCAUUAGCUAGUUGGUGAGGUAACGGCUCACCAAGGCCGUGAUGCAUAGCCGACCUGAGAGGGUGAUCGGCCACAUUGGGACUGAGACACGGCCCAAACUCCUACGGGAGGCAGCAGUAGGGAAUCUGCCGCAAUGGACGCAAGUCUGACGGAGCAACGCCGCGUGAGUGAAGAAGGUUUUCGGAUCGUAAAACUCUGUUGUUAGAGAAGAACAAGUGCUAGAGUAACUGUUAGCGCCUUGACGGUAUCUAACCAGAAAGCCACGGCUAACUACGUG
rnacentral:rRNA from 1 species